rnacentral:rRNA from 1 species
GACGAACGCUGGCGGCGUGCCUAAUACAUGCAAGUCGAACGCUGAAGGAGGAGCUUGCUUCUCCGGAUGAGUUGCGAGCGGGUGAGUAACGCGUAGGUAACCUGCCUGGUAGCGGGGGAUAACUAUUGGAAACGAUAGCUAAUACCGCAUAACAGUAGAUAUUGCAUGAUAUCUGCUUGAAAGGUGCAAUUGCAUCACUACCAGAUGGACCUGCGUUGUAUUAGCUAGUUGGUGAGGUAACGGCUCACCAAGGCGACGAUACAUAGCCGACCUGAGAGGGUGAUCGGCCACACUGGGACUGAGACACGGCCCAGACUCCUACGGGAGGCAGCAGUAGGGAAUCUUCGGCAAUGGACGGAAGUCUGACCGAGCAACGCCGCGUGAGUGAAGAAGGUUUUCGGAUCGUAAAGCUCUGUUGUAAGAGAAGAACGAGUGUGAGAGUGGAAAGUUCACACUGUGACGGUAUCUUACCAGAAAGGGACGGCUAACUACGUG